AUCUUGGUCUCCUCCCCCAAAUCCCACGCCGCCCGCCGGCCGCAUUCUCUCCCCCCGCGUUCUCUUCUCCGUCUGCUGCCCCAAAUCCCAUCGCACAGCGGGGGUGGAGGGUCGGUUCGAGCUUUGGCUUCGGUGCGCACAGUGAGCAGGAGAGGUGGCGACCGCCGGCGGCCACUGUGGGAGGAUGAGGACGAAUCGGUCGUGUUUUGCCCCUUCCCUGUGCUGGCGACGAGCGUGCAUCAGCGAAUGGGCGGGCUCGCCGGAGCGGGACUGCACGCCGGCCGGCUGCUACGGGAAGAGGCAUUGCCUAAUGCUUUGAUAUGAGUUGCUAUCGGUUCUGCACAGAGUUUGUCCAAGUAAACUCACUGCUUCUCCCAAAGAUAUCCCUUGAGGGAUGUCGUGCCAACUGCCAAAGUAUUCGAAGUUGUGAAACUCAGGACCACAGGCAUGUAGUCAAAGCCUGCAAGGAUAGUUUGAAGAAUCCUCGGCUUGAUUAUCUACCUUUCUUGUUCGAUUCCCCGUAGCUACUACGCUACUGGUAUGAUCCCUGUCUUUUUUUUACCUUACAUGGAUGAAGAACAUGUUAUUUCACUUACAUAGAUGAUUUAUUGGAUUAUGUUUUAGUUCUGGAUGGUUGUUGCCAAUGUUGAUGAUAUUUCUAUGCUCGAUGGGCAUGCACUUAUGGAGGUGUUGUGUCCAUCUGUUGCUUGGAUGAUGUAUCUUAGUCAUCCAACUUCCAAAGUGAUGAGGACAUGACUACCUUGGAUACGACCACAAAUAUUGCAUACAUGC